UACGAAGGGGGCUAGCGUUGCUCGGAAUGACUGGGCGUAAAGGGCGCGUAGGCGGAUGGCACAGUCAGAUGUGAAAUUCCCGGGCUUAACCUGGGGGCUGCAUUUGAUACGUGUUGUCUUGAGUUCGGAAGAGGGUCGUGGAAUUCCCAGUGUAGAGGUGAAAUCGUAGAUAUUGGGAAGAACACCGGUGGCGAAGGCGG
rnacentral:rRNA from 1 species